UGAACGCGUAGCGACAGGCCUAACACGAUGCAAGUCGAGGGGCAGCGGGGUGCUGCACCGCCGGCGACCGGCGCACGGGUGAGUAACGCGUAUGCGACCUGCCCGCCACCGCGGGAUAGCCUCCCGAAAGGGAGAUUAACACCGCAUGGUCCGGUGCCUAUAAUGGGGCAUCGGCAAACGCGAGGGUGGCGGGAUGGGCAUGCGUCCCAUUAGGCAGCAGGCGGGGUAACGGCCCACCUGGCCGACGAUGGGUAGGGGUCCUGAGAGGGAGGUCCCCCACACUGGUACUGAGACACGGACCAGACUCCUACGGGAGGCAGCAGUGAGGAAUAUUGGUCAAUGGGCGAGAGCCUGAACCAGCCAAUGUCGCGUGCAGGACUACGGCCCUACGGGUCUUAAACUGCUUUUGAUUGGGGAUAAAGGAGGGGACGCGUCCCCUUUUGCAGGUACCAAUCGAAUAAGGAUCGGCUAACUCCGUGCCAGCCGCCGC
rnacentral:rRNA from 1 species